rnacentral:tmRNA from 1 species
GGGGGCGUACCGGUUUCGACGGGUAUGGCUGAUGAGUUAGAGAGCAUGCCGGGGGUGGUUACGUGACCCCGUCAAAACGCGUAACAACGCUUAGUCGGCAACGAUUACGCACUCGCAGCUUAAUUAAGCUGCCGUCGAAGCAGAGGGUGUCGGUCCCGCUGCGGAGGCGCAAUAAAUCCGACUUGGUGUCAGGGUCUUACGUCUGGAGACCACGGCAUGACGACAAUCAGGCUGCGACAUAGCAAGCCUGUCUGUUGGCUCGCUGCGUAAGAGGACAAUCGACAGACUAAGCAUGUAGCCGCUCUUUCCGUCUCGUAUUCGGACGCGGGUUCGACUCCCGCCGCCUCCACCA